AGUCCUUGUAGCUGCUUUUGGCCCCACUUGCUUCCCUCUUCUUUCCAAAAUCCCCUUGCCAACCAAAAGAGAUGAUAAAUGCUCCCUGCCCACCCCUGUCUUGAAGAAGUCUGGAGGGUGCUUCCACAGGCAUACCAGGAGGGCUCUCCUGUUCUCUUUACAAAUGCAUUAGGUCACAGGUCAUAAUGGGAGCUGGAAGCAAAGAAAUGCUGUUGCUGCAGCUUGGUCAGCACUGUUCUGGUGAGAUGGCAGGUGCUGGGCAUCGCAAAGGGAAAAGAGAUGACAACGGCAUCGGCACAGCCAUCGACUUUGUGCUGUCCAAUGCUCGGCUUGUGCUGGGCGUGGGUGGAGCAGCUAUGCUGGGCAUCGCUACGCUGGCUGUCAAACGGAUGUACGACCGGGCAAUCAGUGCUCCCAGCAGCCCCACUCGCUUGAGCCAGUCAGGAAAGAGAAGCUGGGAAGAGCCAAACUGGCUGGGCUCCUCCUCACGCUUACUGACCCAGGACAUGAAGACUAACCUCAGCCGCUCCCUGCAGACCCUUCCCACUGAUCCUUCUGCUGCAGAGACAGACUUUUUCCGACCCACAAAGCCCAAGCCAUCUGCCAAGAGGAGUCAAGUGGAGCUGAAAAAAUCCCGCCUUCGUCUGUCUCUGCAAGAAAAGCUCUUUGCUUAUUACCGGAGGAAGGUAGCUAUCCCAGCAGAUGAGCAGGCCCGCGCCAAGCAAGCAGCUGUGGAUAUCUGUGCUGAGCUCCGCAGCUUCCUACGUGCCAAGCUGCCGGACAUGCCCCUGCGUGACAUGUACCUCAGCGGCAGCCUGUAUGAUGAUCUGCAGGUAGUGACAGCUGACCACAUCCAGCUCAUUGUGCCUCUGAUGCUGGAACAGAACCUGUGGUCAUGCAUCCCGGGGGAGGACACCAUCAUGAACAUUCCUGGCUUCUACUUGGUGCGUCGGGAAAACCCAGAGUACUUUCCCCGUGGGAGCAGCUACUGGGACCGCUGUGUGGUGGGAGGUUACCUUUCCCCCAAAGCUGUAGCAGACACCUUUGAGAAAGUUGUAGCUGGCUCCAUCAACUGGCCAGCAAUUGGGACUCUCUUGGAUUAUGUGAUCCGUCCAGCAGCUCCCCCAGCAGAUUUGACACUGGAAGUCCAGUAUGAUCCAGAACGGCAUCUUUUUAUUGACUUCCUACCAUCCCUGACACUAGGCGACAUCAUCCUUGUGGCCAAACCCCAUCGAUUGGCCCAGAAUGACAAUCUGUGGCGACUGAGCCUGCGGCCAGCAGAAACUGCUCGCCUCCGAGCCCUGGACCAGUGUGAUUCUGGCUGCCGUUGCUUGUGCCUGAAGAUCUUCAAAGCAGUAUGCAAGUCAAACCCAGCCCUGGGCCACCUCACUGCCAGCCAGCUCACCAAUGUCAUCCUGCACCUAUCCCAAGAAGAGUCCGACUGGUCCCAGGACGUGCUGGCUGAUCGCUUCUUGCAGGCGCUGAAGGGGUUGAUCCGCUACUUGGAGGCAGGUGUCCUCCCCAGCGCUCUGAACCCCAAGAAACGGAUCGGAUGAGAUCAAGCAGAUUUCACGUCAGAUGGAGUCUUAUGGGAACAGCUAAAACGAGCUGCUCUGUGGAACCUGUGCCAGAUUCAAUGCCACCUUAAAACAGCUCCUGUAUAACAAGAGUCCCCCCAGCGCAAGUAGGGAUAGCACAGCGUAAAAGUUUUACUAACAUACUCUGAGGAGGACAGCGUUAUUCACAAGCCACAGAGCCAGAAAGAUGGUGGUGAGCCAGCUAAUAAUAUCUCAACAGUAUGUGAUCCUGUGGAAUAACCUUGGAAACGGUAAGGCAAAAGAGGGUGGUCAGACCAACAGGUAAGGCAGGGAAGAUCUGAAAUCAUUCUGUACACAGAAAGCAUUCUUGUUUUAUGAAUAGCAGGAGAGCGGGAGACAGAGUUUGGCUCAUGGAACUCAAACUUCUCAGGAUCUUAAGCUUUCCUAAGUACUCACGCAGAAGUCAGUUUGAACAAAAUCACUUUAAACGCACUAAAAGUCCAAUUGAUUUUUAUUUUGCUGCCCUGGUUCAAUUUCCCUGGCUCCAGCAGCUAAAUAGCUCUUUGAUCUGUCUAUUAACACUCAGUGCUAAGCUUCUCAGGGGAAAUACAUAUAUAUAUCAAUUCUAACCACAUUCUUCAUGAAAAGCCUUCACACAAGUAAUGGGCAAGAGUUGAUUGCUUGAGUUUUUGGUUUUGUUUUGGAUUUUCUUUUUUUAGGCAGCAGUUUCCUCUGUUCAACGCAAGCCCACCCCCUUCCCCUUCCUCUGACGGUGGUAGAAUUGUCACUGUUCCACAGAAUCACCGGGAUGAUACACUGCCCCAUCAGACAUCCUGCUACAAUGAUCCCAGUCCUGUAAGACUCCCUUAGUGCACUCUGCUCAGCAUUGCAAAGGACGGAGACCUAAGAGGCAACAGGCACAAGGGCACAGAUGGCAAAUGAUGGACUGUGUUGGCUCUUUACCUGUCCCAUGACAGACAUUACUCCAAAACUCUUCAUGCCCUGGCAGGCUCCUUACCCCCUUUGAAAGGCAAGAAGCAAUCAUUCCUGGAAGUGGUAUGGCAGAGAGACAUUUUUGCCUUCAAAUUCUUGAAUUUAUUUAGCACAGAGGAUAGUUAUGGCCUUGGACAUAAUAACUACCGCCACUUAUAUAGAUAAUAUAACCUGAAUUAUGUUCAACUCCUGGUUGUUUAUAGCAGUGGUGAUGUGCUGUCAGAGGGCCUGAGAUCUGCUGAAGCAAAGGUAGUACAAGACACGGCAAUCCCACAGGCAACAGAGCCCCAGCUCCCAUGUUGCUUGCUAGAGAACUUGUUGGCAGGGGUCCCAGCUUCCUGGCAUUCAUGUGGAGGUUGGGUUUUGCUGAGGCAAGCAUGUGACCAAGGCAUGAACCACCUCUCUUCCAAAUCACUGCCUGUGGUCGUGAGAGAGACAGUAGAAAGCAUCUAGUCCAGUGCCUUUUCUUGAACAAUGAGCUAGUGAUUUGGAUUAGGAAGCUUUCUCCUCUGUCUUUUUUUUUUUUUUUUUUUUAAU